GCGCCCGUAGCUCAACGGAUAGAGCAUCUGACUACGGAUCAGAAGGUUGGGGGUUCGAAUCCCUCCGGGCGCACCA
rnacentral:tRNA from 171 species